GGGGGCAGCAAUGUCACCGGCGAACGGGUGCGUAACACGUAUGCAACCUACCUAUAUCAGGGGGAUAGCCCGAGGAAACUCGGAUUAAUACCGCAUAACAUUAGGAUCGGCAUCGAUUUUAGUUAAAAGAUUUAUUGGAUAUAGAUGGGCAUGCGUAGGAUUAGCUAGUUGGUAAGGUAACGGCUUACCAAGGCUACGAUCCUUAGGGGCUCUGAGAGGAGUAUCCCCCACACUGGCACUGAGAUACGGGCCAGACUCCUACGGGAGGCAGCAGUAGGGAAUAUUGGGCAAUGGGCGAAAGCCUGACCCAGCCAUGCCGCGUGCAGGAAGACGGCCCUCUGGGUUGUAAACUGCUUUUGAAUGGGAAGAAAGGUAUGCUUGCGAGCGUAAUUGACGGUACCAUUAGAAUAAGCCACGGCUAACUACGUGCCAGCAGCCGCGGUAAUACGUAGGUGGCGAGCGUUAUCCGGAUUUAUUGGGUUUAAAGGGUGCGUAGGCGGCUUUUUAAGUCGGUGGUUAAGGGUAGCAGCUCAACUGUUUUACAUGCUGCCGAUACUGAAGAGCUUGAGUUAUUGGAAGGCAGAUGGAAUUCCUGGUGUAGCGGUGAAAUGCAUAGAUACCAGGAGGAACACCGAUUGCGAAGGCAUUCUGCUGCAAAUAUACUGACGCUGAGGCACGAAAGCGUGGGGAUCAAACAGGAUUAGAUACCCUGGUAGUCCACGCCGUAAACGAUGAUUACUAGUUGUUGGGCUUCAUUGCUCAGUGAUCAAGGGAAACCGAUAAGUAAUCCACCUGGGGAGUACGCCGGCA
rnacentral:rRNA from 1 species